UACGUAGGCAGCGAGCGUUGUUCGGAGUUACUGGGCGUAAAGAGUGCGUAGGCGGUUUUCUAAGUUUGGUGUGAAAUCUCCCGGCUUAACUGGGAGGGUGCGCCGAAGACUGGAAGGCUUGAGUAUGGGAGAGGUAAGCGGAAUUCCUGGUGUAGCGGUGAAAUGCGCAGAUAUCAGGAGGAACACCAAUGGCGAAGGCAGCUCGCUGGAACGGUACUGACGCUGAGGCGCGAAAGCGUGGGGAGCAAACAGG
rnacentral:rRNA from 1 species